rnacentral:rRNA from 1 species
CCUACGGGUGGCUGCAGUGGGGAAUAUUGGACAAUGGGCGGAAGCCUGAUCCAGCAACGCCGCGUGAGGGAUGACGGCCUUCGGGUUGUAAACCUCUUUCAUCAUCGACGAAGCUCAAUGUUUAGUUGGGUGACGGUAGGUGGAGAAGAAGCACCGGCCAACUACGUGCCAGCAGCCGCGGUAAUACGUAGGGUGCGAGCGUUGUCCGGAAUUAUUGGGCGUAAAGGGCUCGUAGGCGGUUUGUCGCGUCGGGAGUGAAAACACUGGGCUUAACCGAGUGCUUGCUUUCGAUACGGGCAGACUUGAGGCAUUGAGGGGAGAACGGAAUUCCUGGUGUAGCGGUGAAAUGCGCAGAUAUCAGGAGGAACACCGGUGGCGAAGGCGGUUCUCUGGCAAUGUUCUGACGCUGAGGAGCGAAAGUGUGGGGAGCGA